UGUCUGAUUUCAUAAUUUUGCACAUUGUAAAGCUCCAUGCAGUGCCAACUUUGAUAAAUUUUUACAUUUAAAUAUGACAACUGUUGUACUUCAAAGAAAGUCUAAUAAAAAUUCUUUCACAAAAAGAUUUUCAUGUGAUGCAAGAUAGCAGGAAUGGCAGUGUACUUGUCAUCCUAUUUGCUGAUGGAAAUUAUUGUGAAA
rnacentral:lncRNA from 1 species